rnacentral:lncRNA from 1 species
UUCUCACUUAUAUGCAGUAUCAAUCGAGUGAUUAUAUCAAAAACAGUUUAUCAAUCGAUCGACAGUAGUAAAAAAAUAGAUUUUCAGCAUUAGAAGGUCUGUAAGUCGAUUGGUUUGUGCAUUGAUCUAUUGAUGCUGCAGAAAAAUGAGUUUUUACCUGAAAAUUAAGUUUCCGAACCAAAGUUUAAGAUCCCCUAUUCAUCCUCAAUUUAUACCAGAGUCCAUAACCAUCAUCAAACAUGUUUUUUAGCAUAAGUCUAAGCAUUUGGAUAAUGGGAAAAUAGCUAUCAGCAUACAAUUUCAUAAAUUUAUAGGCUUAACCACAAACAUACAUGAUUAUUAACUAAAUCAAUACCCAAAGUUCAUGAAUUUCUAGACUUAACUACAAACAUACAUAAUUACUAAGUAAAUCAAAUUCUUAAAUCAUAAUAAUUUCCCAAAAUCUCUAACUAAAGGAACCCACCUGUUAAGAAAUAGCAAUUUUUCUCUUGAAACUCCUAAAUCCUCAACCUUACUUCAAGUUCCAAAUUCUGAUUCUUGUGCAAAAGCUUCAGCCCCUGUCACACACCACACAAUUCUUAGUUCCAAGAGAGUAGAAGUGNNNNNNNNNNNNNNNNNNNNNNNNNNNNNNNNNNNNGUUUAAGUCCUUGGGUAAAAUAUGGGUCCCACCUCUUGGUUACUAAUGUGUGUGCAUAAUUUUAACACUAGUUUCUUUUCAUAAACUUCUCCUUACUAUUACUCUUAACUAUUUUAAAGUGGGUUGUUAC